GUGGGGAAUAUUGGACAAUGGGCGAAAGCCUGAUCCAGCCAUGCCGCGUGAAUGAUGAAGGUCUUAGGAUUUUAAAAUUCUUUCACCGGGUACGAUAAUGACGGUACCCGGAGAAGAAGCCCCGGCUAACUUCGUGCCAGCAGCCGCUGUAAUACGAAUGGGGCUAGCGUUGCUCGGAAUUACUGGGCGUAAAGGGCGCGUAGGCGGACAGUUUAGUCAGAGGUGAAAGCCCAGGGCUCAACCUUGGAAUUGCCUUUGAUACUGGCGGUCUUGAGUACGGGAGAGGUGAGUGGAACUCCGGGUGUAGAGGUGAAAUUCGUAGAUAUUCGGAAGAACACCAGUGGCGAAGGCGACUACCUGGCCCGUUACUGACGCUGAGGCGCGAAAGCGUGGGGAGCAAACAGGAUUAGAUACCCCUGUAGUCC
rnacentral:rRNA from 1 species